rnacentral:rRNA from 1 species
UACAGAGGUCCCAAGCGUUGUUCGGAUUCACUGGGCGUAAAGGGUGCGUAGGUGGUCGGGUAAGUCUGAUGUGAAAUCUCCGAGCUCAACUCGGAAAUGGCAUUGGAUACUAUUCGGCUAGAGGGUUUGAGGGGGGACUGGAAUACUUGGUGUAGCAGUGAAAUGCGUAGAUAUCAAGUGGAACACCAGUGGCGAAGGCGAGUCCCUGGAAAACUCCUGACAUUGAGGCACGAAAGCUAGGGGAGCAAACAGG